CAAAAAACAAACCAUGGGUUUUCGUGUCCAACGUUUGACUGUCCGUCUUAUUUAAAAAAAUUAUGAAAAAAAAUUAAAAAAUACAAGUCACACAUAAAGUAUUAAUCAUGUUUUAUCAUCUAACAACAAUCAAAAUACUAAUUAUAAAAAAAAAUUUAUAUAAAAUGGACAGUCAAAAAUUGGAUAUAAAAAUCCAGGUUUAUAUUUUUU
rfam:Oryza rufipogon genomic scaffold, chr07